AUUGAACGCUGGCGGCAGGCCUAACACAUGCAAGUCGAGCGGAUGAAGGGAGCUUGCUCCUGGAUUCAGCGGCGGACGGGUGAGUAAUGCCUAGGAAUCUGCCUGGUAGUGGGGGAUAACGUCCGGAAACGGGCGCUAAUACCGCAUACGUCCUGAGGGAGAAAGUGGGGGAUCUUCGGACCUCACGCUAUCAGAUGAGCCUAGGUCGGAUUAGCUAGUUGGUGGGGUAAAGGCCUACCAAGGCGACGAUCCGUAACCGGUCUGAGAGGAUGAUCAGUCACACUGGAAAUGAGACACGGGCCAGACUCCUACGGGAGGCAGAAGUGGGGAAUAUUGGACAAUGGGCGAAAGACUGAGCCAGACAUGCGGCGUGUGUGAAGAAGGUCUUCGGAUUGUAAAGCACUUUAAGUUGGGAGGAAGGGCAGUAAGUUAAUACCUUGCUGUUUUGACGUUACCAACAGAAUAAGCACCGGCUAACUUCGUG
rnacentral:rRNA from 1 species